UGGCAAACUUGUAAAUAACCGAAAGCGUACUCUAUUUAAACCGAGGGGAAUACGUUUUUGAAAAGAGAAAGCGUACUCUGUGAAACCCGUUUUUGGACCGCGGGUUUAUACCUAAAAUGUUCCAGGGUCUCUCUAGGAAGAUUCACCCCGAAGGGGUAUCUUCUUUUCCUGUGCGUCGAUCUGAAAACCGACGGCUCACAGCGCUCCAAGGGGAAACAGGGGAAAGGGCCGGCCACCGACGUGG
rnacentral:lncRNA from 1 species